rnacentral:lncRNA from 1 species
UUUUUUUUUUUUUUUUUUUUUUUUUGCAAAUCAGGUGAUAUGGAUUUUUUUUUUUGUAAUCAGGAGAUUGACAAGUUUCAAUUUUGAAGACGGCUACGUUUACAGGCUUCCCACCAGCGUCUCUCAAAAAAAAAAAGAGGCAUCCCUCCCACCAAUGAAAAAUUAUGCGAGUAUAAUAAAACUCGAAAGAACAACCAAACGACUACCUACCAACCUAUUCGGUGCCAAUGUCAAAAUUCGUGGAAGCAUUAAUUGAACGCCGACUCGUUUCUCAUUCUUUAGUCCUUGCCACUCAAACGUGGUUUCCACUCAAAAGGCCAUGGUUGCUAGCUUGGACAAACAAACAGUUACGUUCAAGAACUUCACAUAUAUACGCAUGGCAUUCCACAUUGCUGGGUCCAAAACCCGCAUUAGCAAAGGCAUCCAUCAAAUGGAGAACAGCAGCAAUGGCAACACUUGCCAUAAGAAGCAUCAUCCAUUCACUAAUCUUACUCGUUCGCCUCCCUUGCUGCAAAGCAAAAGCAGACCAGCUCCAGCGGAUGCACAUAUGCAAGCACCAAAUUCUCGGCCCGCAUUGCUGAAUCCCUCAAAAUCAAGGUCUCGUAAAGUCGAGGAGAGUACUCCGACGUCAAGAAUCGAUCGAAAGAAAUUACCUCCGGAGAGCAGAGAUGAUGCUAACAAGCUUCUACUGCGCGGUCAAAGUAAGAUGGACGUGCCUGGACGAUCGAGGUCCGCUAGUACUUCUCCCUCUGCUUGGGCUUUAUCACCGGGUCGAUCAUUGCAUCCCCCGUCACCGGCACCUCGGCGGCCACUUGAUUUAGUGUCAAAAUCGAAGAGGGACCCUUGCAGCGAUAAGGGUAGCAGUGGUGUAGGUGGGGUCUUGAAGUACUUGGGCAAGAAGAUCAAGAAAGCGUCCCGCCUACAAGAAGAAGAACACCAUCGGUGUCGCAUUAUACAUAAUGCACUAUUGCAGUGGAGGUUUGUCAAUGCAAGAGCUCAGGUUUCAACGACUGCGGUCAAGGGAGCUGCGCAGAAGAAGCUUUUCAACUUCUGGCUAAAAGGGUCUAUAAUGAAAAACGCCAUAGCUGGAAAAAGAAUUCAGCUGCAAAGGCUCAACCAGCAGAUCAAAUUAUAUCAUAUACUCCGUUCAGAAUUCUGUUUGCUAAAAGAAUGGGCGAGAUUGGAGAUCAAGAACCGUGAAGCUGCGGAAAGAUUGGCGACGAAAUUGUCAGCAAUGUCACGCUGUCUCCCUUUGGACCAGGGUGCAAAGGUACGCAUUUGAUAUAAUCUCUUCAUGGUUGGUUAGUUGUGAAUUUGUGAUCCUCAUACAUUUUUUUCACCUAAUUUCCACUCGUAGGACGAGAUUCUAAUUCCUAAUCAAUCCUCAAUUCUUUGCUUGCACAGGCAGAUGUAACGUCAUUGCUUGAUUGGAUGAUCAUGGCGACGAGAGUUAUAGAAAACAUAGGAGCAAAGAUCGAAAAUAUUCAAGCGCAGGUAUAAUUAAAACACCGAAGGAUUAUCGCAUGAAUCAAUUCAGUUUACAUAUUAUAAAAACCGACUUCUGUAAGUUCUGCAAUUUUCGGUUUGAGGGCUCUGUUGGCGCAGGUUGAGCGACUAUGUUACAUGUUAACUGAGCUUUCAGUCAUAGCGAACGAAGAGAAGGAUUGCGCUAUUAUGCUCGAAAAGAAUUUGGCCACGUUAGCAUCAUUGGCGGUGAGUUUCUACAGGAUUUUUUUUUUCUUUUCUAUUCUGGGUCUAACUUAUAAGAUAUGUCUAUCUAUCUCUGUUUGUUUGGAUUAACUGUUUCUUGGAGUGUUUUUAAAAAAAUUUUAAUAUAGCAAUGUAUAUAAAAAAUUUUACUAUAAAUAUUUUUUGAAAUAUUUGAUAUAUUGUAUGGAUGAGAUUUUUUUUAAUUAUUUUUAUUUGUAUAUUACUAUAACAUUGUAUUUAAAAAAAAAAAUUUUAAAAAAAAAAAAUGGUCGAUCUAAACGGACCUUGCCUUCGAAGUGGGCUGAUGGCGCAUUUCGAGUUUAGACCCAAUAGUGGCUUCCCAUAACCCAACCUCAGUUAUCAAAAUGGGGGUUUUCUACGAAACUAUUGCGUGUAAUUAAUUAGUGCAUUGUAUAGCAAUACAUUUCCCAUGCACAAUCCGAUUAGUUGAACUCGAAAAGCUUCAGAUCUAAUUGAAAGUUGAGACCCUCAAUUUGCAGGCACAAGAGACAAGUUUAAGGUUGCAUUCCAUACAGCUUGAUGAAGAGUCUAGAAGAUUCAAUUCAGCAAUUCUCACCCCUUAGCGUAUAAAAGCCUUCUGAUCUUGCACUAUUACACUUUGGCGUAUUGCACGCGCGGACGUUGCAUGGUGAAAUUUAACAACAUUUUCUUUCAACUCUCUCAAUCAUCCCGCAUAUUUGACAUUUGGAGUGAUACGAGGAACAUUAUUAUUAUUAUUAUAUUGAUUAAAUUUUUUUUACGUUGUUAAUGUAUACACUAAUGAAAUUAAAUGUACGUUAUGUCGUCUAAAUUUGAAUUUGAACGCAAGAUUUUUUUUUUUUUUUUUUACGAGUGACGCGUAUUUAGAACCGUUGGGGAACAAUAAUACAAUAGGUCCAUAUGUUUCCGGUGGAGAGAGGUGAUGAUGCUUAAGCUGCUUCGGCGGUGCUUUCAUUUGUUUCUUCGACUGAAGUUGUAGCCUCCUCCCCGGUACCUGAAUUUAUCACCAAUAGCGAUUCAACAAAAACUCAAUCCAUCCCUCAUCAAGGGUUCGAUGUUUAUGAAAUUUGCACGCAUAUAUAUUAAGAACCAUUUCACAAGCUUAAUGUGCGGUGCGAGUCACGGCAAGUGAUAGAAUCAGAACACUUGGAAGUGGAAAUAAGAGGGAAAAAAAAAUUUGACUUUCCUAUACCAAUCCCCACAAUCAAAAUUAGAAAAGUGGAAAAAAAAAACCCCAAAAAAAAAAAAUCCCAAUCCUAUUAACAUUCAAUUAUAGGUGCCGGCUUUUGUGCCAAAGGAAUAGCAUCGCAAGCGGUGCCAUUUUCUUCGCCGCCGCCUCCGGGCAGUUUCCUCUUCGGCUUGGCCUCUUGCAGCAUUGAUACUACAUCCCUCAUAGUUGGACGGUCAGCGGGAUUUCGACUGGUGCAGAUCAAUGCAAUUCUUAGCACUAGCAUCAUUUCCUCCCUCACGGAGGCACACGACGCACCAGCAUUUUUGUCCAGAAUAUCAAGAAAACCAUUUUUACUCUUAAUCUUAGACCUCACCCAAUCUACUAUACUAUUCCCAUCCCCAAAUUCUGCAUCCACGGAUCUUUUCCCGGCCAAGAUUUCCAAUAACACCACGCCGUAGCUAUAAAUGUCACUCUUCUCAUCGACUUGCACCGUGUAAGCAUAUUCUGCAAAAACAGAUCGCACCAACUUCAGAGAGAUCCAUCGCGAAAAAAUGAACGCUGAAAAUUUGAAAAGGAGCAAGCUGGAAAAACAUGAUGGUAGGAUUUUAGUCCCAACCGCCCCAAGCAUUUGACUUUGGAUGCUUGUCGAGGCAUGUACUAGCAGUAAGCAUGUUCAUCAGACAUCAUGAAGCAAACUUGACAAAAAUAAGAGGUGGGACCAAUUGACGAGAGAAAAGUGAAAAGUAAAAGCAAAAGGGGGCUUCACGCCUAAUAGUGCGCCAUGGGGAAGAGCAGCAGUAAAUCACGGCGAGAAACAUCCGAAAAGAUAUAAAGAUUGGGGCAUCGGAGCAGAGAGUACAGUGCACAACAUAAUGCCUCCUGCCUCCUCUGAUUAGAUUGUGCGGGUAAAGCUCGGCAAUUUCAGUCCCAUGGCGACCAACUAUUAUACCACCUGGACCAUCCUGCUAGUUAUCACCAGGCUAACUUUAAUGUGUCUUGCUUCCCUUCAAGUAGGAAACUACUAUUGAAUUUGAUGAAUGUGUUUCAUCAAUAUACGUGCACAAUGGUUUGAUUAUAUUUUGAAUGGGUAGUUUUUUAAAAGAAACAUUUUUUUUUAAGUCCAUUUUUGAUACACCACGAAAUGGAAAGGUGGCAUCUGACAAAAAUCCAUAACAAAACUUAACAUGUCCACUAAAUUGACUUGCACCACAGAAUAAUAAUAAUGUGCGCAAGACCACGACCAUGGGCACGCAAGAGGAAAGGGCAAAAGGCAUCUCUCGUCACCCAACAGAAAGUACAAAACCGACAUGACGACACAACUACGGAUAUUCCCUACUACUGGCAGCGAAUGAAGCAGACUCCCAAUUCUUAGUUUCAGGAACAUUUAUUUUAGUUACUUCCUUCCAAGUUCCAACCACUACUGGAUCUUGAUUGAACCAACAUACUUUAUGCGAACCAAAAAGGAAAAUAAAAAAAAAACAACAACUACUAUUAGAGCUGCACCUAGGAGUAGCGAAAGAUUGGAAAUUGACUUUGUAACAUCACGUUCGGCAAUGAAAUUAAACCCCAAAAUCAUAACUUUCGCAGCAGCAAAUCAGAGCAAAAGAUUGACAAGAACGCACCUGGAGCUAUGUAACCGUAAGAUCCAGCGAUCACGGACAUUGAUUCAUCGCUCUGGAUCAACUUAGCCACUCCAAAAUCGGCCACCCGAGCCUCCAUCUCGCUAUCCAAAAGUAUGUUACUGGGCUUCAAGUCCCGGUGGACGAUCACCGGAUCACAGUCAUGAUGCAGAUAAGAAAUCCCUUGAGCCACGCCCAAAGCAAUCUUGUACCUGGUGAGCCAGUCUGCCACCAAAUUUUGGUCCUUAUUCUUGCCAUGCAACAAAUCAUCCAAGCUCCCAUUGGGCAUGUACUCGUACAACAGCAUGGUACAUUCGUUGUUGCUGCAACAUCCCAGCAAUCUCACGAUGUUCCGGUGCCGCACGUUCCCCAACACAUCAACCUCGGCCAAAACCCCUCUCCUCUUCCUGAUCGUCUCCUUGUGCUUCCCCCAUAGCUUCUUCACCGCUAUGAUCUCGCCACCUGGCAUUUCCGCCUUGUACACCGUCCCCGUGGACCCCAUUCCUAUGAUCUUGUCCGUCAUGGUCAAGCACUCCAACACAUCCUCAGCCGUGAAGUUCAAUCUCUGGAAUGCAGUUAGUUUCCACGGCCCGACUUCCCUGUCUCCGGCGAAUCUCCUUCUGUAAUUGGCAUGAAAACACCGACUGGCCGCGAUUAGAACGAACAAUCCCAUCCCAAAAGCAGCGGCCAUGAUCCAAACUAUUGCACCGGCCGUCUUCUUCGGUUGCUGCCUGACCUCAACUGCUCCAUCCGCGAGUCCAUCGGUCCGGCAAGGCUUUUUGAUGACCCCACCGCAAAGCCCUUCAUUGCCAGUGAACGACGACGGAUGCAGGCUAGUGAAGACGGAGCCCGAGGAGGGUACAGGACCAGUGAGCUGGUUGUAAGAAACGUUGAAGUUCUCCAGAGUACUGCAGUUGCCGAAAUUCGACGGAAUUGCUCCAGUAAGAAAAUUGUGAGACAAGUCCACGUCCGUAAUAGAGGGAAGCGUUGAUAUUUCCCAAGGAAUAAUCCCUGUUAACGAAUUUUUACGCAAAUUCAAAUGUAUGAGCUUUUCGCAGUGAUCGAUAUCCCACGGGAUGCUUCCAGUCAGAUUGUUUCCUUCUAGCUCAAUCUUGUACAAGCUUCGACAGCCUUUGAAAUCCGGAAUUAUACCAAUGACAUCUGCAAAGCUAGCUGACAAUAUCUGUAAGGCUGGUGCGCUCCAGAUAUUAUUCGGCAACUCAGAAUCAAACGAAUUUUCCGAUAUAUUCAAGUACUCUAACUUGACGGCAUUCCCUAAAUCUUUGGGAAUCGGCCCUGUGAAGUUAUUCCUGCUGAUGUCCAUGAAUGUAAAGUUUGGCAGGAAACCGAAACCUGACGGUAUUGAGCCGUUGAGUUGGUUGUUCUGAAGCCGAACACGAUUCAAGGCUGUGCAGUUUGCUAGACUUGAAGGAAGCUCGCCCACGAAUUGGUUGGAGAAGAGGAUGAGCUUCACGAGACUGUUGCUUAGGCAAAGACUUGGCGGGAUGGGACCCGAGAGCGAAUUUGAAGAGACGUCUAGCUUUUGUAGCUUUGCAUUUGAGCCUAACUUCUGAGGUAGAAUUCCGGUGAGUGAGUUGUUCCAUAAACCCAAGAUUUCAAGGCCAGGAAGCUCACCAAUUCCUUGGGGGAUUUCACCUGUUAAGUUGUUACCCAUCAACUGCAACUGGGUAAUCUCUUUUAAUCCUGAAAACGAGACCGGUAUCGUGCCUGUGAGGUUAUUAUCUGACAAAUCAAGUAUCUUCAGUGAUGUCAACUGAGCCAAACUUUCUGGUAUGGCGCCCGUAAAACGGUUCCUGAAGAGCAGCACCGUUUCUAUUUUUGUCAGGUUACCUAGCUCAGCUGGAAUCUCACCUGAAAGAUUAGCUGUCGAGAUGUCAAGAUAUACUAAAUUCGCUAAGUUGCCCAGAUGAGAAGGAAGCCCACCGCUGUAGCCAUUGUAGCCCACCUCCAUAUGCUCCAGCUGAUUCAAGAAACCUAAUUCAUUUGGAAUUGGACCGGUCAGAUUGUUUCCAGCUAAAUGCAUAAACUUCAGCCUAGGAAUACUUCCAUAACUCCCGGGUAUCGGGCCUUCGAAGUAGCUUCCCCCAAGGUUGAGGUACUCAAGAUACCUGAGAUGAAUGGUUUCAUUUGGCAAAGGGCCGAUGAAGCUGUUGCUGUAGGCAUUCAGGUGGGUGAGGGACCUGAGCCUGGAUAUGCCAGGUGGGAAUGUUGAAUUGAAGAAGUUGUGACUAAUGUCGAGCGUUCUAAGAAAAGGGAAUUCAAAUAUGGACAGCGGUAGAGUGCCGUCAAAUGCGUUUCCGCUCAAAUUCAAAUGAUGCAGGUGGGAAAUGUAUGUGAUAUCGGCCGGAAUGAUGCCUGAGAGGUUGCGCCUGGAGAGAUCAAGGGUCGUAACUUGAUUGGUUUUCUUGUCACAUUUGAUACCCGACCACGUACACCACACUGGAAAUUCAGGUUUGGAGAAGGUUGGUGCGGGGUCCCAGUCCUGGAAGGUGUUGAGAGGGUCUUUAAGAGAAGACUUGAGAGAAAGAAGGGAAAUGAGUUGCAAAGGAAGAGCAGGGCUGACGGCAGAAAUGGCCGGAGAAAUUUGAAAAAGAACAACGAUUAUGAGUAGUGCUAAAAACUUGGGUCUGAGGAAGAGAGAAUGGUGUUGGUUCAUGGUUGUGGGAUUGAAGGAGCAGUGGCGGUGAUAAAGGUUGAUGAGAGGUUGGCUUUGCUAAGAGAUAGGGUAAAUUUAAGGGUCGAAAGGCUUUGAUGGCUAGAGUAGCUUUUUUGGAGUGCAGGGAGCAGAGGGUGGUGUUUCAUGAUGACGAUGAUUAGUUUCUUCAGUGGGUUUUGUUUGGUAUGAAGAGAGAGAAGAAAGGAAGGAACUACUAUUGCUACUGCUACCACAACUGUUGUUUCUUCUUCUUCCUCUCCUUCUACAAGAACUUUUGGUACUAAAAGUUCUGUUUGUACCUCCCAUCCUCAAAACAGUUUCUCUACAAAACUCUACAUAUCAGUUUACGACACUACUCUUGCUCCUUCCUCCUCUUAGUUAUUAAGUAUUUUGUGAGAGUUUAAGGGCUGAUUUUCUUGGUUGUUCUGUUGCAUCUUUUGCGCUCCCUCUCUCUCUCUCUCUCUCAACUUUGUCUGCUAUAUAAGACUCCCAGCUAUACUUUUGGUUUUCUUGGAUUUCUUUCCGCUUUUCUUUUAUUUCUGCUUUUCAUCAUUCCUUGUUUCCUUUAUCUUUCGCCAGCAGAAUGUUGAUGAUAUAUUUAGACAGUGAGGGCAAUGUUCCGUCGCAGGAUCCGAGAAAGUGAUCUCAAUUUCCCUCCAAUUAUACCAAAACUGUUACGCUUUGAUCAAUUGCUUGCUUGCUUACUCUCUUUUUCUUUUUCGGGUUUUCCUCCUCCUCUUUUUUUUUUCUGUUGGAGAUAGAGAGUGAGUGCUUCAUGUGACAGCAGGUCGUGGAGGACCGCCCCCAUCAAACAGAAUUACGCAAAUCAGCCCAUCCUUCUUUUCAUCAGAAUCAUUGGACUAGAGAAGUGUGAUUAUACUAAUUUGCCAGGUGCCCUGCAAAUAUCUUGCCCAUGAUUGACCGAAGUUAAUCAUCUUAAUUUCUACGCUACGACAAUUGCAGCAUUACUUGAAACCGGCAAUCAGGAAGAGAUACCGAGAAAAUACCGCCGCUGCACCGGCUGGAACUGGCAUAACAACUCUGACAAUUGUCGUCCGACAGGGAAAAAGUAAUAAUGGUAAGAUUAUACUACUUACAUAAUAAUAAUGUGCAAUAAGACUUUAAUGGACAAACGUAUAUAAAUGCAAGUCAACUUAAACAACAAGUAAUUAAGGGUAUUAAUUCGUUAGCGUUUGAUUCGAUCUUCAAGCCCUCUCCUUUCUCUUCCCUCCUAUGAUUUGCGAAGAGUACAACGAAUAAAGGUGGGUGGGUGGGUGAUUGUUGGUGAAAGUAAACAGCCGGCAGCAAUUGAAGACCCGAGGGAUUCAUAGGCAACAGCAGCAGGCAUGCAUGAAGAUGGAAAAUCUUUCUAGGGGACGUUAUAAUGGAGAUGCACAAGAACAGCUACCACAGUUCUGUAUUUACUUCUGCGUUUCUUCUCGAAGGAGUAAAUCUUUUUGUGUACUACUAAUAACUAUACAUUGAGGGCUUAAGCUCUUGAACAUUUAACGACUGCAAAGCGGCCAGAUGAUUCAAUAACAUUUUUUUUCCCGGCCAGAUGAUUCAAUGACGCUGAAGCACUUUGCUGGCGAGUACGAGAACAUAUGACAUGAUAGCAGUGGUGCUACAAUUGUGGCUGCAAAGUAUUAAAUUCUUGUCGCUUCAUUGUCAGUUUUGACUUCUAUAGCUCAUGAAUGAUGACCAGUUCCUUUGUAUCAUUAAUGUCUCUAAAGUUUUAUCCUAGAAAAAAGAACAAGCUUUAGAGACAAGGCUUUAAAUAAUCGUUCGUUGCACAUUUUGAUGAUUUGUAAUUUUCGCAUUGGGACGAGUGGAAUGCUGUUCUCAUAGUUUUCAUUGCAAAAUGGAAGUUACUAAAAAAAUUUUUGAAAUCAAAUACUACUAUGCUUCUUACAUGAACAAAUGACAAAAAGAUAGUAAGUGCUCAAAUGCCCACUGUUUUUUUUUUUGUUAAAUAAAGGUGGUUUGAUAAAUGAGUUUUUUUUGUAUUUAUUUAAAACUCUAGUAUAAUUAACUUUAAAAGUUGUAGGAAAAAUUUUAGAAUGGAAAACUUUUUUCUUUUCUUUUUCUUUCUUUCUUUUUUCUUUUUUUUUUCCUCUCUUCUUCUUCUUCUUCUUUCCCCCUCCCACACCAGAAGAACCAGCGCCAAACAUGGACUUUUUUUUUUGUUUUUUCUCUCUCCCUCUUCUCCCUUCCCCCUCCUCGGCCAGAAGAACUAGCGCCAAACAUAAAUUUUUUUUUCCCUUUUUCCCUCUCCCUAGCUACAAUCUGGUCGCGAGACCAGAUCGGACAGAGGGUGAAGGAAGGGUGGCAGGGGAGGGAGAGGGGGGGGGAGAGAGGUGACGCAAAAGGGAGGAAGAGGGAGAAAGGUGAGCCAAAAAAAAAAAGGUGGCCGGCACUGAUGCCGACGACAAAGAUGGUGGUGAGUUGAGGUGAAAGAAGAAGGGACGAAGGGAAAUUUUUUGUAUGUUUUAUGUAUUUUGAAGUGUGUAAAUUAAAAAUUUUGAGAAGUUUUUUUAGAGUACUAUUGGUAAAUAAAAUUGUUAAAAAAUUGGUAGGAGACAAAUUUGGGCAAAAAUUCAUUUGUCAAGCAGGCCAAAGUACACUUGAAAUAUUGGGAAGUUUUUCAAAUAACCUCGUGCAAAUUUGCCAAAUGAAGGCAUUCUUUUUAUUUGUUUGUUUAGGAGUAUUCAAAGCAUUAUUGGCAUCUCCGUCGGGUAGGAUUAGAAACUUGCUUGAGAACUGAGGAGUCCUCAAGUCUUGCAUGUAACACCCACACUACUAUGAAUUGUCACGCAGCCGCCAAAAGCUGUAGACGGACAAACAUAUAAAAAGAUCAAAUUAAAAAGCAAAGCGGUUCGUGAUCAGACGCCAAUCAGCAAUGAGAAACAAAAGUUAAUUGGAGUACUAUAAAAUUAGCAUAAAAAUACUAAUGGAUGAAUAUGUGCCAAAGCUUGCUCCGAAAGAACUAACUAACAACAGAAAAGCUUUCGUCUGGACUUACGCAAAGUGGGCGAUAUCUGUUUCUAUGUCAGCGAAGAACAAACAAAACAAACGAAGGCCAACUAGUAAUUAAAUGAUUCAAACAUUGGCAAGAAAGAAAAAGUGGGGAGAUAAAAUAAAGCUUAAAUUAAUAGAAUUAAGGGGGAAGGAAAGCUUAUUGCAUUGGUAAAGGAUGCAAAGUGUUCUUCCCUCUGAGUACGACCCUUUCUUGGAUGAAUUUAUUGUUAGUGCCUACCACAAAGCAAUUUGACAGUAGCCCCCUUUCUCCAUUCCCAUGAUGAUCGCACGGGAUCCCAUCCCCACAGCCGAAAUGGCACUCUUCCCACACCAGACCAGACCAGGGUUUGAAUCACAGUAACAGAGGCAGAGCUGUAUCAUUUUUGCAUGGCGUCAUACAGACAAUAAUAAUUAAUAUCUCGGUUUACUUUUUCUCAAAUCAGUUCUUGGGGGCCAUUGCACAGAGUUUUUUUUUUCCCUUCCUAAAAAGGAGCAUUAAUCGUCCCAGUAUAUGUCAACCUAAACGAAUGGGCAUCAUCUGAUUACAAGAAGGAGUUGAUCAGCUUCGAUAUCAAUUCAAGCCCGCCGGUUUCUUUUGUAAUCUUUAUAUUCACCGUAAAACGCAGAACUAGUCACUGGCCGUGUGUUUAUCAUACUAAACUUUAGAAAGACAAAAAAAGGAUUUUGAUAUCCUAAGAAUGGUAAUUGGACUAAUUAGGUGCUAUCGAAACGUAACCACGUACCCAUGUGGGCGUAAAAUUAAGAAUUUUAACUCUCACCUUCACUUUUUUACAAGACAAAGAAGUUAUAAUUGAAACUAUCUAAGUCAAAUUUCGCAAUUAGGGCAACUAAAAAAGUGAUUUCGUAAGACAUUUAAUUGGUUGUGUUUGGAUUUUUCAUGAUUUUUUAUGAAAAAAUUACUGUAGCGAUUUGAUGUAUGCGAGGAAAAAAAAUAAUAAGGAAAUGUGAUCACGAAAAACAACGUAAUUUUUCGACGAAAAACUGCAAUCCAACAAGGAGUAUUUUUUUUUUUUUUACCUCAACAUACAUAAUAUCAUUAUAAUUAUUGGCACCCCAAAAAAUUGCAAAGAGGAAGCUAUUUUAAUUAAUACAUAUCAAAAUAUGUAUCAACAAACAGUCAAUAAUUUUAUUAGUUCAAAAUUUAAUAAUAAUAAUAAUAUCAUGACGUAACUUUUACUCUCUAGCUCACAACACAAAUAUCUCUUAGAUAACCCAACAACUGAAAUUUCUCGAGUAGCGUCUCGAGCUUUCUCUUCGAGAAGUAGCGUUUAUAGACUAAUUAGCCGAGUAAUUAAAAAGCCUAAACAAAUUCGGAUUCGGACUCGACACUUAAUUAUGCUUCAACCGACAAAAGAAAGGUGACUUGCCAAAUUAAUUUCCAGGACUAGACACUUGGACUUUAACGACUAAGAUAUAUGGUAACUAACUAAGAUAUAUGCUAGUACUAAUUUGACAACGACACUAACUUGAUUCCUAUGAAAACUAAAAUAACUUUUAACAACCUAAUAAAUUUGGCAACUAACAAAAACACUUUUGACUUUGAUGCAUAUGUUAGAUUAUCAAUCAAGUUUUGUUUAAUUUUUCUAAUAUUGCCUUCCUUAAAUCAAACUCCUCAGUAUUAUCUUCUCCAAUGCCAUAACGAGUUUGAAUCUCCAUAUAGAAAACUUAGUCGCUAUAUAAAUAAUAUGAAACACUAACUUGCGAUUAAUUUUUUAAUUUCAUCUUCACAUGUAGUAGUGGACCAAACUUAUACUUCUUGAAUCAUGUCUUGGCUUCAUCAUUUUUAUUGAGAAAUUCAAACAUAUUCACUUAUUCUUGAUUGAACACUUGAAGAAAAUUAUUUCAUCUAUAUCAUCAAUAAAAUCUUUCAAAACCACAAAAUCAUAGUCACCAUCACUAAAUUUUUCGCCAUCAACAAAAAUUUGCUUUAAUUUGUCCACUCGACCAAUCUCAUCCAUUAAAGCAGUAUCAAAUUAUUCAAUUAGAUUGUUCUCAACCAAUUCAACUAUUUGAUUUUCUUAUUCAAAUAACUCAUCAAUUCUCAUAAAAUCAAGAAUUUUACCUCAUCACGAUCUUGAAUCACGUCAUUAAUUUCACUAAUAAUUUUGUUUUCUUUAUGAAAUUUCUUUUUGAAUCACAAUUUCUUCAUCUUGAAAUGCAACCCCAUUCGAAUUCACUGAGUAGGUGUUGUUAUUCACAUCAAACCAUUCAGGUUCACGAGCAAACCAACCCAAUGAAGUCCUGCGUAUUCACAAAUCACAGUAAAACAAAGUUGCGAUUUUUUUUUAAUAAACCAUGAAGAAAAGAAUUCCCAAUAUAAUGGCAAUGGAAAAAUGUAAACAGGACUUUAAAAGUAUAUGUGUAUAUGUGAAUUUUUUAGAUACAUGCAACUGGACUUUAAAAUCGAGAUAAUGAAGUGCCUUGCGAUUCAAUUCUCCAUUCCUUUCUAACUCUUUAAUUGCACUGCUCGAUGAUUCUGCGCCUUUUGCAAGUUCCAUGAACCCUAUUUGGGCAAUAUCCCAGACUCCAAUAACUCUAUAAAAAAAAAAAAAAAAAAAUCCUCCUUCAAUAUACUCCAAGUCUCAAACUCAUUCAUUUUUACCGCCAAAGAUGAAAACCGUACAUUAUAGAUAAUAUGGAUCCAUAUUUCAUUUAUUAAAAAAAUUCAAUCAGUUAUGACCAAUUUAUGUUCUAAUUUUCAACAAUAAAUUUUCUAUUUUUGUGUCCUAAUUUUGCGCACAAGCCAUAGGAUUGAAGUCCAAAACUGUGAUAGCAAUUAUUAGCACCAAAAAAAACACACACACAAACAUACAAUGGAGUCUAUUUUUAACACAUAUCAAAAUGUGUAGGAAGAGAAAAAAAAUAAAUACACCAACAAGCGCUCAAUAAUUUUAUUAUUUUAAAACCUGACAAGAAUAAUACCAAGUCGUAGCUUUUACUCUUUAACUCACAGCACAAAUAACUCGACGACUUGAAUUUCUCAGAUAGGUUAUCAAGCUCUCUCGUCAGGAAACAAUAUGCCAUCACUAGGAAUAUUUAUAGACUAAUUAGCGGAGUGAAGAAUCUAAACAAAUUUAGAUUUGGACUCAAGACUUGUGCUCAAAGUUAAACCGAUAAAAGGAAGGUAAGUUACCGAGUUAAUUUGCAGUACUAGAAACUUGGACUUUAAUCGACUCAGAUAUAUGGUAAUUAACUAACGCCAUCCUAGUACUAAUUUGACAAUGACACUAACUUGAUUCUCAUGGAAACUAAAACAACUUUUACCAACCUAAUUAAUUUGGCAGCUAACAAAAACACUUUGACGUUGACACAUAUGCUAGAUUAUCAAUCAAGCUUAGUUUAAUAGUUUCAACAAUAAUACAUCUUUUUUACAAAAACUUCACAAAAUUGCAGCUUGAAGUAAUGGGACAGUUAGAUAUUGUUUGAUAAUCUAAUUCAACACUUAAUUUUCAUGGAUUCAUAUCUUAAUAUGUUUAGGCGCGUUUGAUAAUAAAAAAUUGAACAUCUGAAUUAAUUUAAACAAAACUGAAUUUUUUAAGCAAAACUUGCUUCUAAAAAUAAAUGGUAAGCUAUUCAUUUAUCACUGAAUGUGAUAUACACUCAAAUGUAUUUAAUUUAAUAGUUAACAAUUCAAUAACUUAAUAAUUUCACACUUCAGAUUUCAAAUUUCAAUAUUUAUCUUCAAUUUUUUCAAACGCGCCCUUAGUUUGAAUCAUAGUCACCUGAACAUCUUCGUUGUAGUUAAAUUACAACGCUCCCUACAACAUCAUUGCAGGUGAAAUCAGAGGAGAACCCCAUUGUACAAGUUUUAGCAAAUUAAACAUUCGUCUCAGUGACGUUUAUUACCAUCUAGUCACCCCUUUAAUCUCCGAACCCUCAAAAUGUGAAAACUUCGUGGCUAGCGACUUGCUGCAGCGAUUGAAUGAAAAGCAUGCGGAUCUCCCAUAAAUCGUCAGGCCGGAACUCAACUAUGCACUCCGCUGUCUAUUGACUCUAUAAUAAAGAAUGUGCGUUUAAUCGAUUCUUCCAUCUUCUCAAACAAGAAAGUAAAGCCAUUUAAGAGAAGCCUACCAUCAAAAUUCAAAACUGGCCGAAAGUAGAGUGGCCUUCUUUUCGUCUGUCGAACGAGAAUAAACAAUGCCCGUAAUAACUACUCGAGUAAAUGCAAAUUCAAAUCUUGCCUCUUAUUAUGUUGUCACGUUAAUUAUGUUGUCACUAACGUGAUUUCUCUUAAAUUCAUAUAAAUGCAUAAUGCAUCCGUGUAAUCCAAUAUUGAUUUAAUCUCCAUCAUUUUCCUUUAAUUCAAUUGGAUUAGGACUGUCAAUGGGGCUGAGCCAGCCCGAGCUCGGCUCGUUCGGCUCGAUGAGCCCGAUCAUUUAGUGAGCCGGUCUGAGUUUGAACCUAAAAAUUAGGCCCGAAUUAAAUGUGAGCCGAGUUUGGGCCUUAUUAGGCUUAAACCCGAUAUAGGUCCGGCCCUUUAAUUACCUAUAUAUAUAAUAUUUAUAUUUUAAUAUUAUGUAUAAUUAUAUAUCCAAAUAUAUUUUUACUAAAUACUAAAUAUAUAUAUAAAUUACAAAACACAAAAAUACAUCUAAAGACUCUUUCAUGAGUUUUCUUGAGAGCCAAUAUUAGUAAUGCAUAACUAAAUCUCUAAUUUUUCUUAUUAGUUGAGUAAAUUUUUGUAUUAGCAUAUUAUUGGUUAUUUUUUUUUUUGGUCUACAAACACAAAAAUCAUCAAGCAUAUUUGGAUUUAAAUCACAAGAUUAUAAAAAAAAUUUUCAACUUUUAAAGAUGUAUUGGCUUAUGAUCGCAUGUUUUAUUACUAUUUUUCAUGCAUUUUAAAUGGAUUAAAUAUAAAUAUUGUUGAAAAAAUUUUUGGUUUAUAUACUUUUUAAGAACUAUUAUUUGUUCAUGUUUAGUUUUAAUAUUAUAGGCUUGUAAAUGUUAAAUUAGUUUUACAACUUAAUAGUUAUAGUAAUUAUAUUAAGAAAAUUAAGGAGUAAUAAGUGAGCUUGGGCUAAACCCGAUUAAGGCUCACAACCCGAAUAUUAUGUGAGCUGAGUAUGAGCUUCACAUUUAUGAACCCGAAACUCAUAGCCCGAAACCCGAAAAUGUUACAAAUUAAAUGAGUUGAGCUUGAACUCAUCAAAGUCCGGCUCAUUAGGCCCGAUUGACAGGCCUAAAUUGGAUCACCUCUUUAAAAUAUAUUAGAGUAAGAGGAGAAACACUUGGGUCAAUAGGUUAGAAAAAAGAUAGCAAGGCGGCCGGAGGCUGCUAAUUAAGGAUGCGAAUCUCCUGCGGUUAGCAAGAGGCGCACCAUCCAGCGGAGCGGCUGACUGAUUUUGAAAUGAACAAUCAAAAUUGAAUUGGAUUACAUUAAGCCGAUAUUGAGCUUAGGGAUGGCAAUGGGGGCGGGUGCCCGCCCCGCGGGGUGCUCACGGGGCGGGGCGGGGGAGUAUACCCCCGCCCCAUCCCCUGCCCCGCCACCCGCAAAAAAAAAAAAAAAAUAUAUAUAUAUAUAUAUAUAUAAAUGACUAUAUAUUAUAUAUAAGUUAAUUAGUUAUAAACUUAUGAUAAUGAUAUUAUUAGUUAGAUGUAUUAUAUAAUGUAUAUUAGUUUAUGUAAUAUAAUUGAUAUUAUCAAUUAUAUGAAUAAUUAUACAUGUCUACUAAUAGAAUUUAUUAAUUAGUUAUACUAAAUUUACUAAUACAUUUAUACUAAAUUUCUAAUUACACUUAAUAGAAUAACACUUUUUUCUCAAAAAAAAAACACAAACACAAUGAUGAAUUAGUGAUUGCAUUUGUACUAAAAGUGAAAAUUUGACUAUUUUAGUUAUAUUUAUUUCAUCAUAUUGGAUUGUAUUCAAAUAACUUCUAUUUGAUUGUUUUUAUGUGUUUCAAUUGUAAAAUUACAAUGAAUAAUAAUUUGGUGAUGUGUUGAUAUUUUAGUACUUGAUUAUUUAUUAAAAUUUAAUCAUAAUAAAAUUAUAUAAUAAAAUUUUAUUAACUCCACGGGUGCCCCCGCGGGGGAAGCGGGGCAAGGCGGGGGGAGCGGGAGGCGGGGGACGGGGGGAACUAAUAGGCAACGGGGCGGGGGACGGGGGAGGGGUCCCCCGCCCCGCUGCCAUCCCUAAAUUUGAGCUGCUCAUUGGAGGGUCCGACUCCAUUCGUAACCACUGAAGAACCGGAUCCGCUAAUUAACGGCUAUAGAGAUAACAGGGGCGGUAGAGCCCAAGGGAAGAGGGUGGGCCAAUCUUGAUCAUCCAUAAGAUGGGGUCCAACAGUAUUUUGUCCCCUUAAUACCCUUCACUCUGAUCCAACACCUCAGUGUCUGAUUUGUCGUCAAGUAUGUGUCACACGUGGCAAAUCACGCUUCGCUCGCGUGACCCGCUCUUGCAUGAUGAUGAUGUUCAGCGUGCCCACCACACCCCACCCACUCUCAAAUCUCGUAUUGCAAAAUUUAACCACCAAAUUUUCAAAGAAAAAUUAUUACCUUUUUCGUAAACAUGUUUUUAAAUUAUUUUUUUAUUUUAUAUAUAUCAAAUCUCUAUAAUAAUUUUUUAUAAAAAAUUUAAAAAAAUAAAAUCCAAACAAGGGUUCAGAGUUUUAAGCUGUGGUAUUUUUUUUAAUACGUGAUUUAUAUGAAAUAAAAAUAAAUAAAAAAAACUUAAAGUUAGAAACAUUUGUAGUAUUUAUAAAUUUAACAGUUUUUUAAAUAUUUUGAUUAAAAAAAAAACUUCCAAUAAAUCACAACCCAAACAAGAGCUACGAAUUUUGAAAAUUUAAAGUUAGGGACAUUUGCAGUAUUUAUAAAUUAUGGACGGUAAACUUCUUUCACGAGAAAUAGAAAGCAUUCGUCCUUCAGUGCAAAUACAAUAAUAUUAUGAGAUUUACUAUCAUCUUUUACGGCAUAUGUAGCACAAUCUUAUUUUUUUUUUUUCUUUUAUCUUUAAAGAUUUUUUCCCCGCUUUCCUUCUUUGCUCUCUCACUACAUUUUUUCAAAUUAUGGCUCAUACAGGCAUGCCGUGAAUUAUUCCGUCACUUUUUCUAUCUCUCUCUCUCUCACCACUUUCCAAGUUAUAGGUCGUACAGGCUUUGUUAUGAUUUUUAAUUCUAGCAAUGCUCUAUUAUUGCGUUGAACAUACUCAAAUUAUUUUCUUAUUUUCUCAAAGCAUCAUAGCGAAUACUUGUAUCUUUUUUCAGUUACCUGCAAGCCACGUAAUUUUACUUUUUUUCCUUGAAUGCAGAAGAUCCACUUACAUGGGAUGGGAGUAGUCAAACCUUUGCCCAUCUUAUUUUAAUUGAUGGCUGAGUUUAAAUUUUGAAUUCGGGGAGAGUACAUGGAAAAUCAAUUGUUCGUUUCUUUGUUCACCAUCGGUCGUAAUUCAUUACUCUUGGCGCGGUCGAGCUGGAACCAAAGCAGCACACUGGUCCACACGGUACGCGAAAAUAACCCCUUGUUUUGAGUGGGAAAGGGGCUUUUCUAGUUUAAUUUUGUCUUGUUCUUUCUAGUUAGUGCAAUUCUAAAUUUACAUUAAAUCUAAAUGUUGUGAGAAUUAUAUUAACGGGAUAGAACUGAAUUGGAAAGCCCACAGGUCUGUUUCAAGCCAAUCAAUCGAGAUCCUGUUUGAUAAUCCAAUUCAGUACUUAAACUUAACUGAUUCAGACGCGUUUGAUAACAAAAAAAUAAACAUACGGGCACUGAAAUUUUUUAGACAAAACUUGCUCCUCCCAAAAUUAAAGGAUAAACUAUUCACUUAUCAGUGAAUGUGAUACACAAUCAAAUAUAUUUGAUUUAAUACUUAAACAGAUUUAGAUUUCAAAUUUCAAUUUUAUCAAAUGCAUCGUAAAUUUGUACUCGUGCCAUUUGUUAACGCGUCUAUGUCCAGUACUGGAUAUUGGUUUCAUUCGUUCAUGAAAUAUGAAUAUCGGCGUGCUUCUAUUAUUGAGAAAGGAAAAGAUUUUACUAUCUGGAUGAGGAGAGGACGAGGGGAAUCCAGACACAGGAUAUGUUACCAGUUGUCGUGAGAGUAGGAAAGGACUCAAAGUACCCGAAUGGACAAUGACAUUUUCGACAGCAAAUGGCAAAGAGGGAUGAUGAAGUCAAGUGAACCCAUAGUCCUCUCCAAGCAAACCUGGGAAGCGUCGUCCUCGUCCACAGGGGCUGGGGCCGUGGUGAUGCAUUUUGUCCAUUUCCUUGAUGCCUGACAGUUCCCAGUAAAUGGUGGACUGCUCAUUAGUCAUUACUACAUUCCACUGCCAAAACAAAAAUCCACUCUAAUUAAGAAAAUUACUAGUACUAUAUCAUAUGGCCCUAUUUAUUACUACUACUAGCAGUAGUAGUAGUAGUAUUAAUUAACAAGUACUGCUGUGCUGCACUUGCAACAGCGACCAAUUAUCCUAAUCAAGUACACAAUUCAGGUGUUGGACCAGACCAUCAUAAUAUGCGUGUACUGGUACACUCCACUGCAGGGAAUUUUUAUUUCGGAGGUAUUUUGGUUCAGGAAACGCAGGGUACAAUCAACUGUGGGUCCAAUGCGAGAGAUAGGCCUAUUAUCAAUUUACUAUCAUCGGCACUGUAAAAAAGAGAGGGGAAAAAGGAUAAAAUGAUACUACUGAUGAAUAAAGUACGGAAGGGAGAGAGGGCAGGGCGAGGGGCGGGGGGCGCUGGGGACAGCGACCUCGUGUGGUGGCGGAGGCGCAAAAUUUAUGGGGCUGGAAACUUGGCAUGCAAAUCAGUGUGGAGCUGCCAACUGCGGAAGCUUAGCAUUAGCAUGCGAAGAAGAAUCAGAGGAUCUGAAAUAGUAGGAGUAGUAUUUAGCUACUUUAUGCUUUUCCCUUUUCAUUUUUUCUGCGGUUGGCGAAUGCCGGGGCUGCUGCAUGUAUUGCACCAAAUCUUUAAGCCACCAAAAACCAAAAGGUAUUUUUAUUUAUUCCUCCGCCCACCACCACCACCAAAGCGUUUGCUUAACACCAUGCAAGAUCAAACGAAUUACAAACCGUGUUCAUAUUUUUUUUUUGCUAGCAGGAAAAAGGACAUGCUUGCGACCUACUGAAAAAAUUGUAUUAUUUGCGAACGGUAAAUUCAAUUCAAAGUGAGUUUAUCCAUUCAUUAGGGUUCGCAGCUGCGGAACCAAUUGUGAGCCCCGUGAUUUUUUCUUUAAAAAAAAUCCCAAUUUUUAAGUCCCGGAAAAAAAAUAGUUUGAACUUCCAAUAGUUUCUUUCCUACGCAUAAUGCAACCCGUGACUCAGCUGACCUCCACAGUUCGCAGAGGCUCCGCACCACCGCAAGGGCACCACCACAACCAGGGAUCGCUCGUGUUUGACUUCAGAGUCGCUUGCCCGGAACCCAUCUCCAAAAAUGUAUAUAUAUCCAUGAAAAGACCUUCUUAUUCAUCAUCCAUCAUCAUGUUGUUACAAAUUUUUUUUUUUUUAAAUUACUGUUAGUGGUGGACAAUAUCAUUGAGCUUUGAAGGUGAGUGUUUUGGCAUGUGAGACUUGGUUCUUAAGUCAACAAAACAUUUCCUAUACAUCCCACGACGAGGAUGUGACUGUGUUCCUACUUCCUACAGCAUCCCAGUUACACAAAUUCCUGAAAACUGACCAAGAGAAAAAAAGAAAAGAGCAGUGUUAGAACAGACCAAGAUCGUGUAUUAUUCACAAUCAAUUAUUUUUGUCAAGGGAUGAUGAUGAUGAGAUGGAUAAUUUAGCGCUUGCUUGCUCUUCAUGCAUGAUAAUCGGGUUUUCUUUCCUGAAGAUGUGAGAUGCUAACUUUUACGUGAACGUUUCUUGGCCCGGACUGAAAAAGAGGGAGUCUUGCUCAGACCCAUUUUAUGCCAUCUCAUAAUGAAUUAGUGGAAACUAAGUUCGACUUUAAUUGGAUGGUUUAUUGAUCCAUUAUGAUUUGAUUAUGAAAUACUAUCCAAUUAUCCGGUGAGGAAAUGGGAGGGAGGGUAUACUGCCACCAAAAUAGAAUUCCCCCACAAAAAAAAAAAAAAAAAAAAAAGGGGUCCCGCACAUUAUCAUUACAUGUCAUGUUCUAUCAUUUUGUUGUCGUUAAAGAAAGAUGCUUUAGCGGAGAAGGCAUAGGAGUGCAAAUCUUAGCUCCACUUAUUUCUCCAUGUAUCGGUGGAGAUAUGAUAAAUAGACAACCAAAUGAUUUAGACCUUCUAAAGUGGGUUAAAAGAAAAGCAAUAGAAACUAACGGGACAUAUGGGUAUUAGGAAUUUUGCUUCAAUUAGAUGCCAAGUUAAAGCUAAAGUGAUAACUCUUGACCCUAUCUUGAAGUCCAUUUUCAUCAUAAUGUACAGCAUACUUAAAUCUUUCUUUUCCUUUUCAUCUGCCAUCAACAAUGAACUCAUCAACUCAAAUGCCUAUCAUCUACUACUACUGCUACUAUAUAUCUUUUUGACCUAUUCAGUUCAAAGCGGUUUUUUUUAUAUUGGUUUAGUGACAGUGGGGUAGUUUGCUCAAGAAUUGGUUUAUCUGUUAACAGAAACCCAAGCAUGCAUUCUUUCUAAAUUGAAAAGAAUUCUUUAUCAUUAGAGGGCCUCACUCUACAGUGACAAACAAGCCUUCAUUUGCCUACUCAUCUGAAUCUGGCUGCCUGCCUAUGUGCUAUAGAUGUUUUGAACCCUAUAUAUAUUGCUAAGACAAAUUUUUCUGUACCAGAAAGAACGGCAAUUGUAUAGCUUUAUGUGCUUCCUUGUACACACUACUCAUUCAUCCUUGGUUUUGUUUAACCAAUUGUUAUUUUGGAGUAUUAAUUUCAUCAUUUUACAUGAUGUGGAAUAUUCCAAUCUUUUAACCAGACUAAUUUUCAAAGGCUGUGUAGAGUCCUUUAGCAUAAUAGUAGUAGUAUUUGGCUAAUCGAAAAAGAAAAAAAAGAAGAUUUCAGAGAGUGAUGCAAGCAAAGCAAAAACAACGCGUUGUUUUUGGUCACUGACAGGAGGUGAAAAAAGAGCACCAAUUUCCGUUGGCACUCGGACAAAUUUCAUCGAGGGAUCCGUUCCAACCUUUUAAGCCAAAAACUCAAAACCUAUCAUGAUGUUGUUUUGGAAGAUUUUAAGUUUUUUGCUAACUUCGUCCACAUCCCUUUUUGAAGUUGGAUGCUUGUCUAAAUGCUACCAUUACUCGCAGGUCUACCACAUAAUCAUCAAUUUCACAUCCCACUUUCUUUGCUUUUUCACCUACCCAUGCUAUUAAGUAAUAAUUACUUGCGCGAUAGGUGAGUGUGAGAUGUUACAGCAUCCUGUUGGUGCCGGUGCCGUUGGAGGACAGCCCAUAUCAUAUUCCUCUUCUAUCUAAGUGAGGGUAUAAAGGAUCAUCCAUCAAACUCCCGCUUCAUCUAUAUGAUCUAUCUCCCGUCAUUCCUCGCUGAAUAUUGUGCUUUUCGUAUAGCUGCUUUGCCUCCCGUUAAAGUGCCUCGAUACGAAGUUUGUUUUAAAUUCAUAUGAAUGUGUGAUAUACUCAUCUGAUCUGAUAGUGAUUUAAUUUUCGUCAGGCUUUCUCGACUCAGUUGAGCCUUUUCAUAGAGUAUAUUCCCUCUUCCCCCGCUUUCUAAGGAGUAAAAAUAGACUAGACAUGUAUCGUUACAAAAAGAAAAAAAAAAAUUGCUUUUCUUCCCUGUACACGUACACGCUAAUAUUUUUUUCCUCACUAGACAUCAUGGCGGACAUUGGUCAAAGAUUGAUAUUUUGACACCAUUAUAGUCAAUCAAAGUUAGCUGAGGCCUCAAGGAUCUUCCCUCUAACAAAUACAGAAAAUAAACAAUAUAUAUAUAAAUUGAUAUUGCUGAUAAAUUGCCCAAUCUGGUUGAACAUUUUUUCAGAUAAAGUAACUGACAUAUUUGACUCGAUAAGCAAGCAUAUUUAGAUGUUAAUCAUAACCUAAACACCGGAAAAGAUUUGUGUCAAAAUUAUUUUGCAACCCUCCAAAUAAUCCCAGUCGAUUUGGUUAGCUAAUCAUAGAGGAAUCGAACUAACACCACGCAUCGAUAGCAUCCUCAAACUAGCAGCAAAUGUGCUUCUAAUACCUAUGACAUAUUUGCUCGUCUCUACUCGCCAAGACAGCGGAACUUCUGCGACAAAAUAUGCUGCACUCUAGGCUCAUGCUAGUUUCGUAAAACAGCAGGAUAUUUUUCACUCCAUAAGAGUCCCAGGGUAAAAAUCUCAAAGUGGAAGCAAACGGAGAUUCACGAGUAUCUACUUUUUGGUAGUUGUGAUAGAGGGACAAAAACGGUGAUAGUGGCUAACUUUUUUAGUCUUCAUACAUGUCCAUUACAUGCUUGAAGAAAUCUGCAAAGCAAAUGAAUAAUCUGUACACCGAAAAGUUGCAAAAAAGGUGGUAUUGAAUCACGUAGUUGACAACCAUGUACUUCUAUACGUACUUUUACAUAUCUGACAAAAACAAAAUGAUGAAACACAAGCAAAGAGUCCUUCGAUCUGAUAAUAAUUUCAGACCUACUCAACAGUGAAAGUAGUGAACCUUAGAAGCAUAGAAGCCCACAUUCCACGGGGCUGUAAUCUACAUGUCCAGCGAUCUCCAUAGCACUACAGAGAUUUCAAGGCCAGAAA